CCUACGGGAGGCAGCAGUGGGGAAUAUUGGGCAAUGGGCGCAAGCCUGACCCAGCAACGCCGCGUGAAGGAAGAAGGCUUUCGGGUUGUAAACUUCUUGUAAGAGGGAAGAGCAGAAGACGGUACCUCUGGAAUAAGCCACGGCUAACUACGGGCCAGCAGCCGCGGUAAUACGUAGGUGGCAAGCGUUGUCCGGAUUUACUGGGUGUAAAGGGCGUGCAGCCGGGAAGACAAGUCAGAUGGGAAAUCCCGCGGCUCAACCGCGGAACUGCAUUGUAAACUGUUUUUCUUGAGUACCGGAGCGGUCAUCGGCCUUCCUUUUGUAGCGGUGAAAUGCGUCGAUAUAAG
rnacentral:rRNA from 1 species